AGAGUUUGAUCAUGGCUCAGAUUGAACGCUGGCGGCAGGCCUAACACAUGCAAGUCGAGCGGAUGAAGGGAGCUUGCUCCUGGAUUCAGCGGCGGACGGGUGAGUAAUGCCUAGGAAUCUGCCUGGUAGUGGGGGAUAACGUCCGGAAACGGGCGCUAAUACCGCAUACGUCCUGAGGGAGAAAGUGGGGGAUCUUCGGACCUCACGCUAUCAGAUGAGCCUAGGUCGGAUUAGCUAGUUGGUGGGGUAAAGGCCUACCAAGGCGACGAUCCGUAACUGGUCUGAGAGGAUGAUCAGUCACACUGGAACUGAGACACGGUCCAGACUCCUACGGGAGGCAGCAGUGGGGAAUAUUGGACAAUGGGCGAAAGCCUGAUCCAGCCAUGCCGCGUGUGUGAAGAAGGCCUUCGGAUUGUAAAGCACUUUAAGUUGGGAGGAAGGGCAGUAAGUUAAUACCUUGCUGUUUUGACGUUACCAACAGAAUAAGCACCGGCUAACUUCGUGCCAGCAGCCGCGGUAAUACGAAGGGUGCAAGCGUUAAUCGGAAUUACUGGGCGUAAAGCGCGCGUAGGUGGUUCAGCAAGUUGGAUGUGAAAUCCCCGGGCUCAACCUGGGAACUGCAUCCAAAACUACUGAGCUAGAGUACGGUAGAGGGUGGUGGAACUUCCUGUGUAGCGGUGAAAUGCGUAGAUAUAGGAAGGAACACCAGUGGCGAAGGCGACCACCUGGACUGAUACUGACACUGAGGUGCGAAAGCGUGGGGAGCAAACAGGAUUAGAUACCCUGGUAGUCCACGCCGUAAACGAUGUCGACUAGCCGUUGGGAUCCUUGAGAUCUUAGUGGCGCAGCUAACGCGAUAAGUCGACCGCCUGGGGAGUACGGCCGCAAGGUUAAAACUCAAAUGAAUUGACGGGGGCCCGCACAAGCGGUGGAGCAUGUGGUUUAAUUCGAAGCAACGCGAAGAACCUUACCUGGCCUUGACAUGCUGAGAACUUUCCAGAGAUGGAUUGGUGCCUUCGGGAACUCAGACACAGGUGCUGCAUAGCUGUCGUCAGCUCGUGUCGUGAGAUGUUGGGUUAAGUCCCGUAACGAGCGCAACCCUUGUCCUUAGUUACCAGCACCUCGGGUGGGCACUCUAAGGAGACUGCCGGUGACAAACCGGAGGAAGGUGGGGAUGACGUCAAGUCAUCGUGGCCCUUACGGCCAGGGCUACACACGUGCUACAAUGGUCGGUACAAAGGGUUGCCAAGCCGCGAGGUGGAGCUAAUCCCAUAAAACCGAUCGUAGUCCGGAUCGCAGUCUGCAACUCGACUGCGUGAAGUCGGAAUCGCUAGUAAUCGUGAAUCAGAAUGUCACGGUGAAUACGUUCCCGGGCCUUGUACACACCGCCCGUCACACCAUGGGAGUGGGUUGCUCCAGAAGUAGCUAGUCUAACCGCAAGGGGGACGGUUACCACGGAGUGACUCAUGACUGGGGUGAAGUCGAAACAAGGUAGCCGUAGAGGAACCUGCGGCUG
rnacentral:rRNA from 1 species